ACGAUAGUCGUAUUUUUAUCGUUUUGCUGAACAUGGUUACGGGCUACGAUAAGAAUACCACGUCGAUAUCGUAUAAAGUUAUCCACUAUCAUUCGUAAGUGACCACGAUUGUCUAUGCCUAGAGUUUAUGAAAAAUCCAUUUAAUGCCUGGCUUUAUUAAAAUGUCGGACGUGUGUCGGACGAUGUUUGAAAACGAAUAGUUAGUUUUAUUACUACACUUCCAAAUUGAAAAAUGUUUAAAUGAGUGACAGCUUUAUACAAAUUGACUUACAUUAUAACAUGCACGGAUAAUCGUGUUUUCUCAACUGACAAUUCACUUGACAUUGACAAGCAUCGCGUACGCGCAUGAUUCAGUGAAUUUAGUGAACAUACAAACUAAGUCGAAGAAAAAUACUGAUUUGCUGUGUGAACUAAAGGAAAUGCCACCCAAAAUGUAAGUUUCUCUAAUUUAUUUAUAGAAAAAGUUAUAGUUCGUUUGAUCAUUAACUGGUUUUGUCAUGAAUAUGUUUAAUUUCAGACGAUGCUUCGGCGCACAAGAAAAUGCUAGCCAAAUAUAUAUAACUCAGCAUCCCCUGUUCGCCUACACCUACAGGGAGAUCCAUGAGCCUCUCGGAAGCCAGAGAUACAAAAUGCAAUGCUUCACAUUGCACAUAACUUCUAAGAUCCAGAAGAAAGGAUUGAAGAUGGUCCGUCGGGCCUGGGCAUUAUGAUCAUCGAGGGGCGGCACACGGAAGCCGGCCGAGGAAUCUUCGUCUCCGACUUACAAGAAGGCAGCGCUGCCGAACAGUCAUGACAUAUUGGAGGCUUGAAAGUGCACAUACCCAUACAUUGGACGUUAAGCUCAACGAGACCAUGCGAUGCAUCUCAGGCACUAUCCGAUCUACAACCGCCACUGGCUGCCGGCAUUGAGUCACAUUGCCCCUCCUCACAUCCGACGACUCAAGGCGUUGAAGAGGGAGGCUGAGAAUAUCACGAAUAACCCCACCCUGACCCUGUGCUACAGCUGGGAGCCUGAGCAGCUUUAAUAUUUCGGAUAGGUGGA